GGUCAUUUCUGAGUGUUUUGUCAUUUGGAUUUUUCCAUAUGGAAAUAAUGAAUUAUCUUUUCUAGGUCGUGUUUUAUUAGUUCAUUCUUUUGUGUGAACGCUCUUCAGGAAGCGGCCCAUUCCGCCACAGUGAUUCCUGUAGGGACUGGGUCUUGGGGGACUUCACAGAGCGCAGAAUGAUCGCCUCCUCACUGCCGUAUCCUGACUUUAGGUGAUCGGUCAAUACUUGCAUGUGAAACUAAUCUUAUCCACCAGUGUUUACUACCACUACCACCACAAAGUUGCGUUCAACAAUAUUCUUCCUAUUGUUCCAAACUUUGCAACCUUUUUGCUACAUUUAGUACAGAAACAAAUCGAUGUAGGCCAGAAGCACUCAGGAUUUGUAAAUAUCGGCCAGAAAACUGUAGUGCACUUCUACUUUUUUAAUAACAGCAAUCUGUCUAAAUAACAACUGAGUAAUGACUAUUAAUAAAAACAAAAUACAUUCAACAGCUGUUGAAGAAGUACUUAAAUAUGUCUUGAGGAUUAAACACUUAGGCUAAUUCUACGUUGUACCUUUGCCAUAUGAACCAGGAAUAGGAAAGUUAUUUCUGCUAAUUAAAGAAGACCAAGUAUUGCUUUCUAAACAAAAUUUGACGGAUUUGAAAAAAUUGAUAUUCUUGUUUUUGCAAGUCUUUUUCUGUCUACUGGUAGGAGUGUGUUCAUUCGCAUGCGAGCCCACAGCACUCAACGUGUGUGAGUGCCGGUGACAGAAUAGAAACGCACGCCUUCGUCCAGCUUUUGUAAACUUUGGCGUUGGUAUUUUUGAAGGUUUGAAGCUGAGAAGCAGUGUGGCUUGAAGCGCCUUCAAUGCGUCAACUGUGAGCCAAGCUUGAGAGAGAACUGAAAGUAAAGCAGCGACCUCAUACAGCAGUAGGUCAUGAUAGGAGUCACUUACUCUCCUCAUCACCUUAUCAGCCCAGGUCCAUUUUUUCAGCAUUCAGUCUCCCAAUAUUUACAAACCUCUUCUUCUCUCACCACUCCCUGGUUCCUCCCAUAAAAUCCUGUUUCUUUCCCGUUUAUACCUUGCCGACUUUCGUUUUUUAUCCCUUUGUUUUUUGCUCUGCUUUGGCUCCUUCUGUUCUCCAUGGUUUUUGUUGAAAGUGUUUGGUCUUUGUUUUUUUCUUUUUUGACUAAAUCUACAAAAUCUACUCAGUGCCUCUGCCCCCUGCAUUUGGGUCCUCCUUCAUGACAUUAUUUUAUCGUAAACCAGUUUUUGAUGAAAGAAGACGGCAAUGGACAGCAGCCAUCAAUCGUAGGAUUGGCAGCCCUCAUUUUGGCAGCCCCCCAGCAUAGAUUUACAGCAAACAUUUUUUACAAGGUAAAAAUAUGAGCAUUCAUGCACGUCACAAGUAAGUAAUAUUACUAAAAUGCAAUUAAGUAUUCCACUAUGGAGAAGGUCUUUGUGUAUUAGUAACCACUGAGAGGAUGUCCCUCCAUCAUGUAGCCUAGCAUGUAGAAAAAAACUGGUAACCAUCCAGACUUUUCUACUGUUUUAUGUUUGCUCCAAUGUAAGGGGAAACGCUUUUUACAAUAUAGUGGAAUAAAUCAUGUGUCAUGGCAGGCUUUUACUAUUACUAACCAAAACAGAAAUGGAGAACUUGGGUGUACUCACCAGUUCAGAGCUGGCAUUUGAAGUGGUAACUGGAAAGGUGCUGCUUCUGUUGUUUCUGAUGUUAAAAUGAGCAUUCUUGUUUUGGCAGCUCUCCAACCUUCUGUCAGCCUCUCAGCAUGCAAUGAGCAGACUCAGUGCUGUAUUUGUCCUCCUCAAACGUCGCUGUGGCAGUGAAAGUUGAUCUUGACCUCUUUCCAGGCACCAGCUUUGGGCACAGGCCCAGGUUCUGGCAGAGAGCCGCUCUGCUGUUUGCAAGGCUAAUGUUCUUGGUCUCAAUCCCCUCGUAACUUUGAGAAGUCGAGAAGUUUGAUGGCUCAGUUCCAUUUCUGAAAAAGUGUUUAAAAAGAAUGAUGUCAGCCUCUUGUCAGAUUAAUAUUUCUGUUUUUAUCUCUUUUUCUGUGCUCCACUCAUACAUUCUGUUGGCACAGGAUGAAGGUUAGCCAUCGACCAAUGACAAUAUAGAAAUUACUGUGGGCACUUUUUGCAAAGAAUGCCAGCACUUAUCAUGACAUAAUCUCUGUCCACUUGAAAAUUGAUAAAAUGAAUACUUUCUAAAGUUCUUCAUUUAUAAAAACAAAUUGCUAUUCAGAGUCCUUUAAACACUGGGAAAGUAAGAAUUUAUGUUUCCUGCAUGUGUUUCCUUGACGACUAGUCCAUGGUGUACUAUGUACUAGUUAUUAUCAUCAAUCAUUGAUGAUUUGCGAUGAUAGCAUUUGACAUGAUGUCAUGUUUAUUCCAUAUUUCAUAAGUGGUCAAUGUUUUUGUCACGUAGAGCACUUUGAACUGUCUUGUUGCCGAAAUGUAUUAUGCAAAAUAAACCUGACUUAUUGUACCUUCAACUACUGUUGGUAAAGUUUGCAGGUUUUCAUCUAAAAGUCAAUCAGACGUUGGAAACAUUACGUCAGCUACUUGUGAUUCACUAGUGCAACAAUAAGGAAGGCAGAGAAGUCGAUCAAGACCAAGAAACUGGAAGCUGAUUGGAGCCUCUCAGUCAUUAAAUCUAGCAGCUGACUGACCGGCACUGAUUUCUAAGAUGGCAGAAACAACACCUUGUUCCUGGACGGAGAAGUGUGGAUUAAAGAGCUUCAAGUAUGUGUGGUUAAUUAACCAUCUUUAAAGCAACCAUUGUUAUAAUUAUGUUGAAUUUUUUUAAGUACAGAUAAAAAAUAAUAGCUGUGGUUUAUUUUGGACUUCAACAAGUUUGAAGUUUGAAAAUCUGGUUCAAUCAACUAGUGACCUCUGUAUGUUUCAGUCUGUGAUGCUGGAGUUGUGUUUUUUUUCUUUAUCUUUGUGGAAGCACUCUAGGAGUACAGACCCAUUGAAUAAAUGACAAUAUUAUUGAAAAACCCUUCAAUUUUAGGAUUUUUAUCACUAAGUGAAGCAUUAAAUAGAUUAAUUACACAGAUGGAUGUAUGAAAAAGAACCUUUUGAAAAAGGUUAUUUUCCAAAAGUACUUUUAAUCUUACAUAUGACUCUCUUUGGCACUCAUUCUAAAUUCCUAAAUAUUACAUUUGUAAUACACCACAGAAUGGAGAACUGGUAACUAUGGCUAAUGCUAAUGCUUGCCACAGACAUAUAUGUACUUUUAUAUGUGUAUUUAUGUUUUUAUCUGUCACAUUGAAGGGUUUUACUUAUGUUCAGUAUGGCUGCAGAAAAAGCAUAGCGCUAUAGCGAUAGCAUGGCUAGACUACAUGGUUCUGUAUAGGCUGCAGGGUUCUGGAUAAUCUGAUCACAAAAUCUACACAGACGCUGGCCAGAUUUUAUUUUUAAUUAUCAACUAAAAGUCAGACUGUGAUCUGCAAAACAACUGCAAAUCAAUCCUCCAAUGAUUCAUCAGGAUGGACAAUGAAACAGACUGAUGACUGGUCCAAAUGAAGCAGCAUUAGCCCUCAAUGUGUGCAUCAUGACUUCAAGUGUCUUGUAGCAAAGUCGGAACAGGUUCAGUCCUGGAUAAAACACACAGUUAGGUUCACUACUAUGUUUCUGCACUUUUUGGAGUGGUUUUGUGUACAGCACAGGCUUAGGUUCUGAAGACAAUCAAUAUCCUAUUCAGUUCCAGCAUAGAGAUGGAAACCAGCUGUCCUCUGCAGGCCUGCGUGGAUAAGCAGGAAUAGACAACAGACGGAUGGAUGGACUGUUUGAUCCUCGUGGCUCCUGGAUCAUUAGUCAUAUUCUGGGUCAAACAUGUAAGUUUGAAUCCCUGCAUCAGGUAACCUUUGAAAUGCAGCCUUUAGGUAAAUUCUGCAAAUGAAAUGUAGGCUAUUCUUUUUCUGUGCUCAACAAUACAUCAUGAGAAUAGCAGGUGUUCUGUUGAUGUAAAAGACCUACUGAAAAAUAUGCAAUAAUAACAAGAACAAAUUGUGAACACUGUGUGAUAUUUCAAUAUGCUGCAGCCCCCAAGCAGAAGCCAAGUAUUUGUGUUAGAGAGAGAGAGAGUAUUGUUAUGUUGCUUUGGGUUUUGAGUUUGUCAUUGGUGAGAUUUGCUGCCUGGAUACAGCUGAACCAAUGACAGACUUCCUGAGUUUCCUUGGCAACACUAUCAACUUUUACUGUGAAUGAGGUAUGAUGUUACAAAGAUAGAAAACAUGCUAAGUACAAACACUGAACAUCCAGUUCCUUCCUUUGUGUCUCUGUUGUUGUUUGGCCUGGAAGAUGUUUGAAAGAAGAGCAGCGAGAGAUGGAGCAUGUUCCUGAAACCUCAGCAAUUCAACAUGAAUCACCCGCUUUUAAAAAUGCUUGACCUUAAAAUGACUGUUUGAAUGUUUAAAGCUGGCCUGUUGGCACAGUGUGAGAACUUUGUGACAUGCUUUAGCGUUGCCUAAUCCCACUGCGGUCUCUUAUUGAGCACCCUGCAUGGUAGACGGGAAGGAAGCAGGAAGCAGCUGUCAGCAGAACAGAGACUUAUCACAACUGGUCACAUCUGUUGAGUAAAAACGGCAAUAAAAUCAACAAUUUAUGUGCUGCCUUAGAUAGACACUGACGAAAAAGCGAGCACACACAAUCUAAAUAGACACAGCAGAGUGUCUGGAUCAAAAGGUCUAAUCGGGAAGUUUCAUUUUGCCCAUUAGCCAAACCAUUUCCACUAAUCUGGUCCAGACUGGAGCUGUAUCACUUAAAACGAGUGAACUUAGAUCAAAUCCAGUACAAAUCCAGUACUUAAAGCAAUUUCAAUUUCAAAUUAUGCCAGUAUGAAAUGGGACUUCUGACUACAGUAUUAUUUAUGAUCUCUGUGUGAGGACAAACAGAACAUGUUUUUUGAAAGAGAAGGUGGCUGUAAGGAUGAUAUAACUUAAGGGGUUACUCAAUUUGUAGUGUAGGCACAACAAGAAAGAGCUUUUGUAUUUCAAUUAUGGAACAAGUUAAACGAGGAGUUAAACCAAAGUCCAAAUUCAAUGACAAUAAAUGCUAUCUACAUUUUCACAAGAUAUAGAGAUAUGGGUGAGAGAUAGCACUAAUGUGUAUAUGUAAAUUGAGGCUAACGCAUAUGAAUGUGUGUGGAUAUGGAUGUAUAUAUUUAAACAUAUGUAAACCCAGAUAAAAUGGAAAAUUAAUUAACCUAUGUGUUUUUCUAUUUUUUUAAUAUCUGAUUGAAUAAUGCAGGUCCAUCUGAAUGAGUUUGUGUUGUAGGAGUUCAUAAGUUUCUUACUUCUUCCUACUCCUGUUAAGAUUAUUGUGGUACAAAAAAACAGUUUAUUGUAUUCCUUGAUCCUGUGCGUAAUUUUAUACUUUCUGGAGGGGAAGCCAUGGCUGCCAAAUAAAGAUUUACCUUUGAUUCUGCUUUUUCGUCUUUUAACCCACUGAUUAUUUAACAAGAACUCAGUUUGUAUUUACUCAGUUCCUCACCUUCACAUGCAUCUGUCAAGUAAGAGCCCCAGCCAGGCCUCAUGCUCACUUCAUCACUGCUACACACUCCAUUGGAGGAUAGUGGAGAAAAAGAGCUUCAGGCUUCCCCAGCUGAUCAUGCUUUAUGUUCAGAAAGUAAAGCCAACAGUUAGAGAUGUAUGGAAGACGUCAGUCUAUGGGCCAAGUUAAUGCUCUCAUUGAUUUGUUUCAGUUUCUGCUGUAGUAAAUACUGUAGAUCAUAUUCAUUAGAAGUUCUAACGACUUAACAUAAAUUUAACAUAUUUAACAUAUUUAAACAAUUUUACACUGUUUAUUUUUUUUACUGAAAACUUGUUGUGCUGUUUACUUCUAGCUUAUCUGAGCUUCUGUGCGGAUUUUGUUCUUAAUGGAUGCUGGCAACCUUGAGUUAGACAAUAACAUUCUCAUCUUGGCUUUAUUUUGAAAUAUUAUUCUGGGAUGUAAACAAAAGAUUGAAUGAGUAAUUCUUUAUCAACCUUCAUAUGAUCAUGUACCACAAACACUGUGUUUGAGGAGGUGAUCCACCACAUUAAGUUAAUUAUUAUCUAUCUGUCCUGGUGUGUCACUGCUCAAUUUGAUGUUUGCUGCUGAACUAUAAUGGAUUAGCACUACCCUUCAGCUAAAUAUGAAUGCAAGAAAAUGUAGCAUUGAGGUUUUUAACGUUGGAGAGCGCAGCGCGUUUGCUGAACCUGAAUCUGCUUCUUUGAAGGGAGAGUUUGGGGAUGUAGACAGAUGGCAACACUUUCCUGCUGUAAGGAACCAUGGCAGACUGCAGAGCACUGCUGCUCUCUGCUUGACAAGACUGAGCAGGCAUACUCUAUACUGUAUGUGUGUGUGCGGGGGUGUGUGAGGAGCUCUGAGUGAAUGUAGGUGAAAGGGCUUUGCUGUCAAAGCCAGGCAAUGCAGAGCCCAGCAGAGCAGAGUGGAGCGGUGGAGAGGCGGAUCGAUGUGGGAGGAAGGAGGAGUGUCGCGUCUUCAUGGCCUUGCAGGGAAGUUGGGAGAGAAGAGGAGCGGCUGGGGUCAGCUCAGACUCAAACCGACUGGCCAUCCCACCUGAGUCUGUCCAAACAGGAAAUGUGUGUAUUUUAGUGGGGCUAUAUUGUUCAGUUAUUAUUAUGAGUGGAUGUCUUCAAUAGAUGUAAAUACUAAGGACUAAUGAUGCAAGGAAAUCUGGUCAACUACUUGCUUCCACUUUAUUGCUAUGGAAAUCUUAGGUUUUAUGGAGUCAACUAUCAUCACACGUACAGACUAUUGUUCUUUCUGAUUAUGCAUCUUGUGGUUUAAGUAGAAUUCUUUUCCACAUGUUCUGGACCAGCCAUGUGUGCAAGAAGAAAAAUUAUCAGUAGUUUGUUUUCUCCUUGCUUCAGGCUGUAGUUAUCCUCACACAAACGCAUCAUAGAAAGAGAGUAGAAGCUGAUUGCUGAGCCAUCAGCUUAUGGCUCAGCAAGGCCUAGUUCAAGUACAGAGGUCUUCUUCAAAACUGCAACAGAGAGGUGGAGAGUUAUGGAGGAACUAAAUAACUAGGCUUUAGAAAUGUCACUAUGAAAGCUGUCCUUCCAUAGUGCCGUCCUGCUGUUGGAGCUUUUUAUAAACUGUAGAGCACUUAUUACUUUAGACCAACAUUUAGUUUUAUACUUUUAAUAUCAGAGCAAGACCUAAGGAAACUCCUAAUUUACAAAUGUAGAAUAAACUUAUAAAGUAUAAUCUACUUAACAACCCUGAACAAGAAUCAAGCAUGGAGAACCAAUAUUUAGUUUUAUAUUGUACAAAUCUAGAACUCAACCCAGAACAAUGGAACCAACACUUGGUUUUGUAUUUACUAACAGAAUCAAACAUGGAGAACCAACAUUUUGUUUUAUCAGAACAAGAAUCCAGAUAAACCCCUACUAGCUUAUGAAUUAUGGACUACUAUGUUUUAUUCUUAUUAAACAUGGGGAACCAAUAUGUAGUUUUAUACUUUUACCUUUUUUGUCUUUCUUUUGGUUUUGUUGUUUUGUUUCUAUUUCCUUCCAAUUCAUGUAAAGCACGGUGGAUUCCCUUGUUGCAGAAAAUGUGCUACAUAAAUAACAUAACCUUACCUAUGGGCCUCCCCAAAGUUAUUUAUGCCUCCUUCAGAUACAAACAUCAGAUAGUGGAAGCAGACUAGUUGAAGGAUUAUAUCAAUAUUGCUGUCUGAAGGCAUUUCUGCACAGAAUACGGCAACAGACAUCUGACCAAUCACACAGCGGAGCUCCAGCAGGUCCUGGUGUGGAGAAGGGGAGGCAGUUUUCAUCUGCAUCAUUACACAUAAUGUUCAUUUUUCUUUUUAAAUCGUCCUGAUUUAUUAUCAAUCUUUACAUAAUCAGAACUACUGCUUUCUCUCCUUAUUUAUAUGUACAAAAACCUUAUAAGCCUCCACAUAUUUCAGUUUGUUGUUCCUUUCUCUUUACCCACGUCUUAUCUUCUGCAUCCACAUGCAGAUGAUGCACUGGUGCAUAUUUCUGUUUCCACUGGAGAUCUCAGGUCCGUUUGCAACAUGUAUUUGUGGUAGCAACUGACGGAUCCUAGGUCCUGUUUCAGCAACAGAACAGACACAAAACCGAAACACUUGUGGUUAACACAAAACAUUUGAGGCUGAACAUGUGUUCCAACUUGACACUGGUUCCUCCGAAGACAUUCGGGGCAUGUUGGCAAUCAAGGAAACAGCUUGACUAACCUCCGUUUUGAAAAAUUACUUUUAAAGAAUCAUGAUGGGUCUCCUGGCAUGCAGGGAUGUUAAAUGUGCAAACGCUCUGUGUUUGUGGUGCUCGGCUUCAAGAAGGAUACACACACUACAGUCAGACAAAAUGACACAAUGUACCUUGUUCUUCUGGGCUUGUGUAAAGUAAACGCUGUCAGAGAAAACAAAAAAGAUCAAAUCAACAUAAUUCAUCUGCAUCACAGCUGCAGAAAGACAGACUUCCUUAAGUAACCCAAAUACUUUCCUAAGACAGCUUUAGAAAAGUCUUUGGUUAUAUAACACAAAGCUGUUUGGGCAGCAGGAGAUGUUCACUGUUCACCAGGGAGAGAUCUCCUUCCUGUGCUUAACAAGACUGAGCUAUAAAAAGACAAAGAUUCAGCCUGUCGGUGUGUAUGUUUGUGUGGGAACCUACAUGAGCUGCCUGCAGGCACAAACCGGGAAGGACAAUCAACAUUUCCAGGCAACCGAGAGCUGGUAGGGCGAAGGUGUGAGCGAGGUGCAGCCAAGAGACGGCAGAAAAAUGAAUCAGGGUACAUGUGAGCGCUUCGCUAGGUGAGAUAAUGAAGUGCUGCGAGAGGGGUGGGGGCGGGGGCGCAGAGGAGUAAGGUUGAGGUCACUUCAGGCCAAACUGUCCUCAAGGGACCAACAGAUUACACCAGAGCAGCUAAACAAAGCCGGCAAACAGGAAGAUCAAAGGAUCACAAAAUCCUUCUUUCCAAGUAAACAUUUUCCCACAAACACUGCAGAGCUGGAACACUGCAGACAUUAGAGUAAGGGUGUGUGCUCAUCAUUUCCUUAAACAUACAACAAUAUGCAGCAGGUGCUGUAUUUUAGUAAUCUACUUUAACCAAACUCUAGUUUGUUUGGAGAAGUGUGGUCUUGGGUCGUUGAAAGGAACUUUAGGGCAGUUCAAAUUCAGAUGUGAACGCCAAACAGACUGGAGACCAUUCCAAAGGCAGGAGGUGGAUUACAACGCAGGGCAUUCUGGGUAGAUACAACCCAAACUAACAUGUGAAUCUAACGCUAGUGGGAGAAAUGACCCGUGACCUUUUACCAGAGACACAUCAAUGUGAUCUGGUGACACGUUGUGUUCAGUUACCUGCUUUCCAACAAACUCACAGAAACUUUCGACCUUCGACUGGAAUUGUGCUGGUAGUUUUGGACCCAGCGACGAUCGUGCUGCGACGCUCCGAUGGAGGGGCGGUUAUGCUGCUUGUGUUGCAUGAAGUGGUAAACUGCCUGCACAGUUUUUUUUAUAUUAAUCUCCCAGGCAACUACAAGGAUAUGAAUUAACAUUUAAUGCAUUAAUCAUGAAGAGGAAAACAAGACUGAAGUCACACCUGACUGCAAGAUGCAGGAAUAGAAAAACUAUGAAAAAAAGAAAAGUGUGACUUAUCGUCUGGAAAACAGUUUAUAAUUUUUAGAUAAUGUGACGAUAAGUCACAUCAUGCACGUUUACUCAAGAGUUGAUCCAGCUGAAUGUGUCAUGGUUUUGUCAAGAUGUCUGACCCACAUGCACAAAUGCUUUGAGAACAAUACGAUUUUAAAGGUUCGUUGAAAAGACAGUGAUUCAUGUCAGAUUCUUGAUCCAGGAUGAUGGAGAGAUGGACCGCGGGUUCACUGGAGAUAAUAAUCAUUCUUGGAGUAGAGAUCUUACGAUGAGGCUGAAGUUGCCGGGGAGUAAAGGAGGAGAACAGAAUCCAGGGUGAUUGCUCUGAGUCUUGGUUAGAGAAAGAAGAUGUUGAUGUUUCUUGGGACUAGGUUGGUGCUGGAACUUUGGAAGAUAAAACAGUUGCACAAGGAUGGUUGUUACCAAGACGUUCAGGCUGCUAGUCAUGGAGAUGAGGAUCCAGGAUUAUGAUGACUAAAGGAUUUUCGUAACCAGGGGUUUGUUCAGAGAAUCACAAUUGGAGUCAGAUGAGAGAAACUCAGGAGCUCAGGGAAAUCCAGUAAGGUUCCUAAAAGAACACAAGUUUUAAGUAAGGGGCAUAAGAAGAUCUGCAAAAGACACUAGGGGUAGUGAUGUAUGUUCUUUGUCAAGGCUUCAGAGCGCUUGUUGAGUGACCUAGGAGGAUUUUCAAGGCUUGUGUUGAUGGAGGUUGUGACGUUUGAAGCCUUGGAAGUGGACCGUACAAGGUGAAUGAUUCAGGAACUGGUUCGUCAGUUUGCUUGCGGAUCGAUUUAAAUGGCACCAAAACGCUGCUGUUUCACCGUCACAUUUUCUUGUUUUAUGAUUUUAUUGUGUGCAUGAGAAACAACUGAAAAAUAGUGCUGAAUGCUAUUAUUUUUAUGAGAAUAACAAUUUAAAUGAUGUUCUGAGUCUCAUUUGUAAGAACCUUCUUGCCAUCUUGUUUGACUCUUGUUGCCUAACUCCAAUCUUUGAGUUAGGUUGGAGUUAGAAACAUCAACUUUGAGGCAGUUAGUGUUUCUAACUCAGGUUCUGUUGGACAGAAGGGUUUUUUUUAUCUGUCACAAACUCUUUGUUGUAAGUAACAGAAAAUGACGAUUAUUGUGACUUAGCAAAAGUUCAUUACUAAGGUUUUUGAAGAGAGUGGAAAACAUCUCUGCAAAAUAGGGAGGCUCUCCAUCUUCAAUGGCUGGAUGGGAAUGGUAGGUAUUUGAAAUAUAGCUGAUCUUGAAUAGCAUUUUCUCAGCAGCUUGUGUGUGACAGAUGGAGCACUAGUGGUGUGUGGAGUUCGGGGGUUGGGUUGAUACAGUGUGCCAAAGUGGUCAGAGAAAGUGAUUCCCCUAAGUGCAUGUCCCAAUAAAACACAGGGCGUAUCUGAGACUCGACUGGAUUAGACUGUUAAAUAAAAGCAUGGGGCAAUGAGGAGAGAUGGACAGCUGGGUGGGGCAGGAGAGCUGAAGCCAACAAGACUCUGAAAACAUGCAGAGUAAUACUGAAAAGAAGGAGACAAAGGGAGUACGAAUGAAAGACACAUACAGGCUAAAGGUCUCAGAUGAUUGACUACUGCUUAAUUCCGUUGCUGCAUUUGAUGUGGUUAAAUUCAAACUCAAAAAUACUGUAUUUAUCCCAAAGGGAAAUUAAAUGUUGCUGUAACAUACAGAUAUACAUACAGAUGUACUACAAGACUGCUGAAGCUGAAAAUGAAUACGGCUUGCACACCAGUGUGAAAAAAGAAAUAUUAGGAUGUUGCAUAAAACAACAAGCAAUGUACAAGUGAAAAAGAAAUGCCUCCAUAAAUGAUCAACUGUCCUAUUUUUUUCCCUCUUUCUUUCUCUUUGCUUUGGUGGUGGGAGAACCAAGUUGGACCAGAAUUCAGGUCGGACCAGAAGGAAAGUCCGUACUUACUGACACCAGAAAAAUGUUGUCCUUUAAUCUAAUUUUCUUCAGACUGAGACAUUCUUCUUUAAAAUGCUGUCAAAGACUCAUAUUUUCUGAAACAAAAAAAAAAAAAAAGAAUUCAAAAUAGUUAAAAGCACAAACUGUUGUAAAUGUAAAAAAAGUUUGAGUAAAAGUGCAAAACUGCAGCUAACAAAGCUUUGUGCUUUGGGAAAAGUGUUUCUCCUUCGGCCUUCAGGCAGCCUGCUGCUGUUCAGCGCUGACCUGCAGCAGCGGCUUUGUUACUCAGAACGUUUUUUAUUUGGUCUCCAAGGAAACUCUUUCGUCUGUAAUUGAUUUGAUCUAUUUGCUGAAAUUGCUGCUGCUGUAGAAAUAAUAGAUGAUGUUAUGUGUGCCAUAAAUAUGAAUAAAACAAACCGUCUUUUUGUGGAGCUGGUAUUUGGAUGUUGGAGAUUUCAUAAAAAGAAAGAACUACAGUAACAUGUUAGAAGUAUUUUGGAUCCAUGCAUUGGAGAAACUACCAACUCCUUUGUUGUAUUAUUGUGUGCGUGUUUAAAGAUGAGAGCUCAUUUUGACCUUUUGUCUCCUCAGACUCUUACAUGUUUCAGUUGUUUUUAUUUGCAAACCUUUCUGGAUACAAAAAGAUGCAAUCAUCAAGCAUUCUGUACCAUAAAGUAAUUUUUCAUAUAA